CGUGGCUUCCGGAGCUAACGCGUUAAAUCGACCGCCUGGGGAGUACGGCCGCAAGGUUAAAACUCAAAUGAAUUGACGGGGGCCCGCACAAGCGGUGGAGCAUGUGGUUUAAUUCGAUGCAACGCGAAGAACCUUACCUACUCUUGACAUCCAGAGAACUUAGCAGAGAUGGAUUGGUGCCUUCGGGAACUCUGAGACAGGUGCUGCAUGGCUGUCGUCAGCUCGUGUUGUGAAAUGUUGGGUUAAGUCCCGCAACGAGCGCAACCCUUAUCCUUUGUUGCCAGCGGUUCGGCCGGGAACUCAAAGGAGACUGCCAGUGAUAAACUGGAGGAAGGUGGGGAUGACGUCAAGUCAUCAUGGCCCUUACGAGUAGGGCUACACACGUGCUACAAUGGCGUAUACAAAGAGAAGCGACCUCGCGAGAGCAAGCGGACCUCAUAAAGUACGUCGUAGUCCGGAUUGGAGUCUGCAACUCGACUCCAUGAAGUCGGAAUCGCUAGUAAUCGUAGAUCAGAAUGCUACGGUGAAUACGUUCCCGGGCCUUGUACACACCGCCCGUCACACCAUGGGAGUGGGUGCAAAAGAAGUAGGUAGCUUAAC
rnacentral:rRNA from 1 species